rnacentral:rRNA from 1 species
GACGAACGCUGGCGGCGUGCCUAAUACAUGCAAGUUGAGCGAUGAAGCUUGGUGCUUGCACCAAUUUGAAGAGCAGCGAACGGGUGAGUAACGCGUGGGGAAUCUGCCUUUGAGCGGGGGACAACAUUUGGAAACGAAUGCUAAUACCGCAUAACAACUUUAAACAUAAGUUUUAAGUUUGAAAGAUGCAAUUGCAUCACUCAAAGAUGAUCCCGCGUUGUAUUAGCUAGUUGGUGAGGUAAAGGCUCACCAAGGCGAGGAUACAUAGCCGACCUGAGAGGGUGAUCGGCCACAUUGGGACUGAGACACGGCCCAAACGCCUACGGGAGGCAGCAGUAGGGAAUCUUCGGCAAUGGACGAAAGUCUGACCGAGCAACGCCGCGUGAGUGAAGAAGGUUUUCGGAUCGUAAAACUCUGUUGGUAGAGAAGAACGUUGGUGAGAGUGGAAAGCUCAUCAAGUGACGGUAACUACCCAGAAAGGGACGGCUAACUACGUG